UAUUAACAGUAGGGGGAAGAAUAAAAUAUCCUUUCUUUGCAGCUAGUCCUCCCAUAAAUUGACAAUUUCAGAAUUAAAGUAACUGUAGAGCCCAACAGUUAUCAUAAUAACUUGGUAAACUUAGAUUCAGCAUAUAUUAAAUUAGACUGUUAAAGUACAGUACUGUAAGAGUGAGUGGAAGGAAAUUGUGGGUUCCUUACAUCUAAUUAAGGACCUUUUUCAGUGCAACAAGGCAUGAUAAGAAAGGGAGGAAGCCAUAAAUAAGAGCAUACAGGGUCCCAAAUUGACUGACAAAUAAGGCAGGAUAGGAUGGGAACCAAAGCUGGUUAAUCACACUAAUUGAUGAGGGCAGAUGGGAGUGUGGGAUUUCCUGCUGAUCAGGAAAAUCUUCAGUUAGGAAACUAAGGGAAAAGGGGGAAACCAGAAACAGGGAGAUACAGAUCUGAUACAACAAACCAUAGAGACAAUGACAAGAAACAAACCUAGUCACACAAAUUGAUGUGCUAAUGAGAAAUUACAAGCACCACUUCCAGCAAGAUCAACAAUUGAUUGGCAAUUGAUUAAGAUUGUGAACCAAGGCAGGGCAUGGGCUGGGAGGGGUGCAGGAAAGAGUGGACCUCUGCAACCCAACAAGGGAUGUCUUAGGGAAGAGGGAGCAGGGAGGAGUAAAGAGGGAGUAAGCAGAAAAGAUUAUAAAAGGGCUUGUUGCUUGUAAGAUAGAGUUGGUCAGUAUGCUUGUCUGGCUGAGCCCUGUGCCUGAUCACUGCAGUCUGGCCAGUGUUGUCAUUAAAUCCUUUCUUAUCUCUCUGUUUAAUCUUACUGCUGUAAGGGCUCAGUUCUAGCUCCUGGUGAGACCUCUGUGUGUGAGCGAAAUUUGAUGCCAGCUGCUGGAGUCUCAGCAACAGCUCCUGGAGCAGUUUUUUUAAUGGACUCUGCUAGAGGAGCGGAUGCAGCACAAGCUGCAGGCGAUGCUGGAGGAACAGGAACGCGUCAUCGAGCACAAGCAGAAGGUAGAGGUGGGGGCACCGUGGUGGUGGCGGUGCUGGGGGCCGCGGUGGCGGCACUGACCCCGCUUCAUGUGCCACAGGAGCAGGAGGUGCUGCUGAAGGAAUGCUUCCAGAGCGAGGCUGAGACGCUGCGGGAGCAGACAAGAAGCUGCGGGAGAAGAAGGAGGAGAUGAAGAAGCCGUCGUGGCACCAAAGGGCACCGGAUGGGCACGGCUUUGUCACCGAUCCCUUUCUGCUGGGCCUGUUGUCUGUCGCGUUGGUCGUGUUCUUUGGUGCCCUGAUGCUGAUACAGCACGUGUAGUGACCUCAGUGCAAUCCCAAUAAAUUCCUCCAUUCUGCCUCCA
rnacentral:lncRNA from 1 species